AUGGAUGGUGCUAAAUACAGGGAAAUUCUUGAGGGAAACCUGUUUCAGUCUUCCAGCAGGACAAUGACCCUAAGUAUACUGUUAAAAGAGGGGCGCUAAAAAUGUUUUGGCCCCCCCCCCCAUGAUGAGUUCAGAUUUUUUUGUGGCCCCCAUAACCCAUCCCUGCUCUAAAAGGAGGCCCUCUACAACAAGCUGCUGAAGCUCCUGGGGGAUACUCAGACCAGGAGCAUCUGGUCAACAACAAGGGAACCAAGAACAAGUUCCUCUUUGAUAAAGUCUAACCCUUCAGCACCUCACAGGUAGGUGAAUUUAAUUGAAACACAGAACCCAAUGGAUUAGGACCACAGGAGGCUGCUGAGGGGAGGACAGCUCGUAAUGUCUGGAACGGAGCAAAUGGAAUGGCAUCAAACACAUGUAAACCAUGUUUUACCAUGAGCCCAUCCCCAAUUAAGGAGCCACCAACCUCUUGUAAUUAGAACAGUUGUUUUUGUGAUGGCAUUAGAUUUUGUGCCGGUGUGCUCCCUCAAUUUGUCUCUCCAUGCAGGAGGAAGUAUUUGAAGGGACCCUGCCCAUAGUAAGGUCUUGUGUGGAUGGAUAUACAGUAGUCUGCAUUCUAGCCUAUGGUCAGACAAGCUCUAGGACGACUUACACACGUUGGAAAUCAACAAUGACAGCCUAUAUCAGCGAUUCCCUAACUCGGUCCUGGGGUCCACCCUGGGUGCACAUUUAGGUUUUUGCACUAACACUACACAGGUGAUUCAAAUAACCAACUCAUAAUCAAGCUUUGAUUAUUUAAAUCAGCUGUGUAGCGCUAGGACACUUAACAAAAUGUGUACCGAGGGGCCUCAGGACCAGAUUUGGGAAACCCUGACCUAAAUGAUCUCCGGUCAAAGUCCCACCAGUUCAUUAGAGAUAUGGACCUAGGGGAAGUCCAUCUCUGUGUCUGGGCUGACCCACAUCGAGUUGAAGACCGAGGACGGCAUUCUGAACGUGAUGGAAAUGGAGAAAAGAAUAGAAAGAUUGGCUCAACCAAAAAAAAAAAAAGAUAGGCCAAGUCAUGUCAAUACCAGUAUGGUUGUGAACCCAUUGCUAGGAAGAGCCUCUCCCUCUUCAACUCUCGGGCCACCUGUUGCUCACCCUGACUGGAGGGUACAGAGUGUGUCGUCUCACAAUACCCCGACCCUGUGUGACUUGGCGGGGUCCGAGCUCAUCGCCAAGAUAGAAGCCAAACGACAGACUGGUCGAGACCGCAGACAUCAACAAAUCCUUGACGUCCCUGGGACAGGUAGCUCUCACACUGAUGUGAGGAGAUGGGGGCAGAUAUUUUCUUUGAAAUCAUUGAGCUUGGCUUGAUUAGGCAUGCCUUCUGGAACUCUGUGACAAUUGUUUAACAUUUUUUUGUGCAUUUGAGAGGACCAUGACUUACAGAAGGUAUUCUCUCUGCUUUGGUUUUCAGUGCCCUGAAAUGUAACACGCUGCAUGUGACAUUUAAAUUUACUCACCUGAUUCAGCCAUGUAUUAGUAGAGAUGCUAAGUGACGUGUUUGAAUGUGAGUCCUGAUGUGAACGACGUGGUGGAGACACUGAGUACUUUGCAGUUUGGGGGUCGACUGUACGGCAGGUGGUUCUGGACAAAGCCACACAACA